rnacentral:miRNA from 1 species
ACAUACAUGUCUGUGCUUACUCUGUCAUGUUCUCAUUCUCUAUAUGUACAUACGUGUGUGUGUGUGUGUGUGUGUGUGUGUAGACACACACACAUACAUACAUAUAGUAUUC